rnacentral:rRNA from 1 species
CCUACGGGAGGCAGCAGUCGAGAAUCAUUCACAAUGGGGGAAACCCUGAUGGUGCGACGCCGCGUGGGGGAAUGAAGGUCUUCGGAUUGUAAACCCCUGUCAUGUGGGAGCAAAUUAAAAAGAUAGUACCACAAGAGGAAGAGACGGCUAACUCUGUGCCAGCAGCCGCGGUAAUACAGAGGUCUCAAGCGUUGUUCGGAAUCACUGGGCGUAAAGCGUGCGUAGGCUGUUUCGUAAGUCGUGUGUGAAAGGCGCGGGCUCAACCCGCGGACGGCACAUGAUACUGCGAGACUAGAGUGAUGGAGGGGGAACCGGAAUUCUCGGUGUAGCAGUGAAAUGCGUAGAUAUCGGGAGGAACACUCGUGGCGAAGGCGGGUUCCUGGACAUUAACUGACGCUGAGGCACGAAGGCCAGGGGAGCGAAAGGGAUUAGAUACCCGUGUAGUC